AUUGAACGCUGGCGGCAGGCCUAACACAUGCAAGUCGAACGAGUGGCGGACGGGUGAGUACUGUCUGGGAAACUGCCUGAUGGAGGGGGAUAACUACUGGGAACGGUAGCUAAUACCGCAUACCAGAGAAUGCGCCCAGAUGGGAUUAGCUAGUAGGUGGGGUAAGGGCUCACCUGGGCGACGAGCCCUAGCUGGUCUGAGAGGAUGACCAGCCACACUGGAACUGAGACACGGUCCAGACUCCUACGUGAGGCAGCAGUGGGGAAUAUUGCACAGUGGGCGCAAGCCUGAUGCAGCCAUGCCGCGUGUAUGAAGAAGUCCUUCGGGUUGUAAAGUACUUUCAGCGGGGAGGCGUUACCCGCAGAAGAAGCACCGGCUAACUCCGUGCCAGCAGCCGCGGUAAUUC
rnacentral:rRNA from 1 species